rnacentral:lncRNA from 1 species
UUUGUUCAUCUAGUGAAUUCAUUAACACAAAGGAGAAAUACAAUUUUGAGAUACAAUAGCCGGUUAAAAAUAAUAAUUCUCCGAAAAUAAACCGGCAGAAACUCACUUUUCCCCCGAAACAUAACCCUAAACAAGGGAAGCAAAGUGAACUAAACCACCAGAACUAAAGUGACAAAAUGGGGGUAUGAACAAGUUAACCCGAUACCCAGAAAUAAACAUCAAACCAACAAAACCUCUGACUCCAAGAAGAACAAAUUAAAUCGUACAUGCACCCAGAUAACCAACUAUUAAUAUUCCUCCUUAUAAAAGAUCGAUUGCAUCUCUCCACAAGGCCCAUAAAACAGAGGAUCAUGCCCAUCAAGUCGGCCCAUGACAUCAAUUGGCUAAGCAGCUCUAGACCAAACGCACGGGCUCGGCUUUGGACUACUUUACUCAGCUCCACAAAAUAAGUGCAUCAGCUCAGCUCAAAAGCCCGAUAGCUCAGCUCAAUUUCUCGGUCCGAAAAGAAUUAAGCCCAUUAGAGUGAAACGACCUAGGGCGAACACACUUGGCAGGUUUAUCUAUAUAAGGAAGAGAGGAUCGACAAGCGAGGGGAUCCAGAAUUUUACAAACACACUUGGCGGCUAGAAACUUGAAUUUUGCUCAUUGUAUUUCUUGCCGAUUUGUAGUUUCCCGGUUAGCUCACCGAGUAUCGGUCAUCUUUUCCGGCUAUUUCCGUACUUGUAAACCGUUACUCUUUUCCGAUCUGAUAAAACACCUUUGAACAAUCCACAAUCGAGUAAAGUCUGUUCGUACCGAGUUACAACUAAACUCAGAUCUAACACUCCCAACAACUUACCUUAUGGUUCCUUUAACCAAAACUGCAUGUCUAACUGUCCGGCAAGACAAAUCAUAAUCUUCCGGAAACGGUGGAUUCGAAAAUAUCGAUACAGACGCAC